rnacentral:tRNA from 1 species
GGAGUUGUGACUCAGUGGUAGAGUGCUCGCCUAGCAUGCAUGAGGUGCUGGGUUCGAACCUCAGCUCCA